rnacentral:tRNA from 1 species
AUUUAUAUAGUUUAUAAAAAACAUUAUAUUUUCAUCAUAAAAAUAAGAAAAAAUUCUUUAUAAAUA